UACAGAGGUCUCAAGCGUUGUUCGGAUUCAUUGGGCGUAAAGGGUGCGUAGGCGGCGCGGUAAGUCGGGUGUGAAAUCUCCACGCUUAACGUGGAGGGGCCAUUCGAAACUGCCGUGACUCGAGUCCGGUAGGGGAGUGCGGAAUUCCCGGUGUAGCGGUGAAAUGCGCAGAUAUCGGGAGGAACACCAGUGGCGAAGGCGGCACUCUGGGCCGGAACUGACGCUGAGGAGCGAAAGCGUGGGGAGCGAACAGG
rnacentral:rRNA from 1 species